rnacentral:rRNA from 1 species
GACGAACGCUGGCGGCGUGCCUAAUACAUGCAAGUCGAGCGAAGUUUUUCUGGUGCUUGCACUAGAAAAACUUAGCGGCGAACGGGUGAGUAACACGUAAAGAACCUGCCUCAUAGACUGGGACAACUAUUGGAAACGAUAGUUAAUACCGGAUAACAGUAUUUCUCGCAUGAGAGAUAUUUAAAAGUUGGUUAUGCUAACACUAUGAGAUGGCUUUGCGGUGCAUUAGCUAGUUGGCGGGGUAAAGGCCCACCAAGGCGACGAUGCAUAGCCGACCUGAGAGGGUGAUCGGCCACACUGGGACUGAGACACGGCCCAGACUCCUACGGGAGGCAGCAGUAGGGAAUCUUCCGCAAUGGGCGAAAGCCUGACGGAGCAACGCCGCGUGAGUGAAGAAGGAUUUCGGUUCGUAAAGCUCUGUUGUUAGGGAAGAAUGGAUAUGUAGUAACUAUACAUGUAAGAGACGGUACCUAACCAGAAAGCCACGGCUAACUACGUG